UACGGCCACAUAACGUUGAAACACCGGUUUCUGUGCGAUCAGAGAAGUUAAGCAAUGUUGAGCCUGAUCUGUACCUGGAUGAGUGACUGCUUGGGAAUACCGCGUGCUGCAAA